AACGCACAUUGCGCCCUUCGGUAUUCCGUUGGGCAUGCCUGUUCGAGCGUCAUUAGAAACUUCAAGCUCAGCUUGGUGUUGGGUGCUUGUCCCCGCCCGCGGCGGACUCACCUCAAAUGCAUUGGCGGCCGGUAUGUUGGCUACAGCGCAGUACAACGCGUCUGGCGUCUUGACAUACUGGUCCUCCAGAAGCCCUUCUUUGACUUGACCUCGGAUCAGGUAGGGAUACCCGCUGAACUUAA
rnacentral:misc_RNA from 1 species